UACGUAGGGUGCGAGCGUUAAUCGGAAUUACUGGGCGUAAAGCGUGCGCAGGCGGUUCGUUGUGUCGGCGGUGAAAGCCCCGGGCUCAACCUGGGAAUGGCCGUUGAAACUGGCGAACUGGAGUGUGGCAGAGGGGGGUGGAAUUCCGCGUGUAGCAGUGAAAUGCGUAGAGAUGCGGAGGAACACCGAUGGCGAAGGCAGCCCCUGGGCUGACACUGACGCUCAGGCACGAAAGCGUGGGGAGCAAACAGG
rnacentral:rRNA from 1 species